rnacentral:rRNA from 1 species
CGGGUGAGUAACACGUAUCCAACCUGCCGUCUACUCUUGGACAGCCUUCUGAAAGGAGGAUUAAUACAAGAUGGCAUCAUGAGUCCGCAUGUUCACAUGAUUAAAGGUAUUCCGGUAGACGAUGGGGAUGCGUUCCAUUAGAUAGUAGGCGGGGUAACGGCCCACCUAGUCUUCGAUGGAUAGGGGUUCUGAGAGGAAGGUCCCCCACAUUGGAACUGAGACACGGUCCAA